CCCUGGUGCCCUCUGUGUAUCUCUGUGCCUUUGUGCACACUGCUUCCUCUGCCUGGAAGCCCUUCUUCCUUUCUCCACACAACACAUCCCUCCUUACUCAUUAAAGUCCCGUACAAAUGCUAAAGGCAGCUGAUCUUGUCAGCAAACUUGGCCACCAAAUAGAAAAUCUCCUUCUAUGCCCACCAGUCAUGGACAAAACUCAAAAGUUGCAUGAGAACUUCAGUUAUCAGGCAAUGUUACCAGGGUUUGGGGCAGAAGGAACAGAUAAAACGGACAAUUCUAAGGAAGAUGAUUGAAAGACUGACCCCAAUGUGGAGAGGAUGAUUCCAGCACUACUCGUACUGCACUAGGACCUGGUAAGGGCAGUAAUAAUGAAGACAAAACUUUCGUUACUGGGAUUUAGAAAAAGGCUUUCCUGGCAAGCACCAAAUGGCUACA
rnacentral:lncRNA from 1 species